CAUUAGAUGACUGAAGGCAAGUACUGGUCUCUUAAACCAUUUCAUAGUAGAUUAGCAACUACUUCUGAUGG
rnacentral:tRNA from 1 species